rnacentral:lncRNA from 1 species
CACACAGAAGUAUAUUAUAGUUCAGCAUCAAAUUAAUGGAAGAUGAGAGAAAACAUAGGCUGUAGAACAGAAGCACAUUAAUGGACACUGCUGAAGACCUCAGCGAAAUAACGCUAGCACAUACAGAUUCUUGAACAUAGGAGACAGGUAGACAUGAUAGCGGAAAGCUAAGGAAUGAUCAACUCUUUCAGUUGUUUAUGAUUCUGCAGUAACUUCUGUUGUUAUCGCAGGGAUAGUCUCAUGGUCACCCUCAAGCUUGCUUAAGUUGCCUUUCUCCUUGAUAAGUUGAAUAUGGUGAUGCUUACAGUAGAGGCGCCCUUCAUGUGCGAUAUAGUUGGAAAGGCUAAUUACACACCCUCCAUGGCUACAUUUGAAGC